rnacentral:rRNA from 1 species
UGAGAGAGGGAUAGCUUCKGGAAACGGAUGGUAAUACCUCAUAACAUAACGAAGCCGCAUGACUUUGUUAUCAAAGAUUUAUCACUCAGAGAUGGGCUCGCGUYUGAUUAGAUAGUUGGUGAGGUAACGGCCCACCAAGUCGACGAUCAGUAGCCGGACUGAGAGGUUGAACGGCCACAUUGGGACUGAGACACGGCCCAGACUCCUACGGGAGGCAGCAGUGGGGAAUAUUGCACAAUGGGGGAAACCCUGAUGCAGCGAUGCCGCGUGGAGGAAGAAGGUUUUCGGAUUGUAAACUCCUGUCUAAAGGACGAUAAUGACGGUACUUAGAAGAGGAAU